GUCUUAAUGAAUUUAAUUUUAAGUCGAUCUGCCCAAUGAUAAAAAUUUAAUGGCUGCAGUAUAUUUAACUGUACAAAGGUAGCAUAAUCAGUUGUUUUUUAAUUGAAAACUAGUAUGAAAGGAUUAAUGAGAUAUAUACUGUCUCAUAUAUAUUUAAUGAAUUUAAAUAUUUAGUAAAAAUGCUGAAAUUAUUUUAUGGGACGAUAAGACCCUAUAGAAUUUUAUAUUAAGAAUUUAAUUAAAGAAAAUUAAUUAAAUUUAUUAAAAUUUAAUUGGGAGGAUUAGUAAAUUAAAAAAACUUUAUUUUAAAAUUAAACUUAGAUUAAAGGAUUUUUUGGAUCUUGUAUUAUAAAUUAAAAGAAUAAAUUACCUUAGGGAUAACAGCGUAAUAUCUUUUAGAAGAUCAAAUUUAAAAAGAUGAUUGCGACCUCGAUGUUGAAUUAAGAUUAAUUUUAAAUGCAGGAGUUUAAUAAUUAAGUCUGUUCGACUUUUAAAAUCUUACAUGAUUUGAGUUCAAAUCGACGUGAGU
rnacentral:rRNA from 2 species